CCAAUAAACUGUUGUAUAUGCUUUUGGAAACACGUCUCUCGCCUGCUCAGUGUAACGAACUUGUGUUGUCCUUUUGUUUAGAUUUAGUAAUUUACCUUAUUCAUAGAUUUCUUUCUUUUCCCUGGGUGAUUUCUCCCAGGGUGGCGUUGCUGGUUUCCUUUAGUUUCUUUCUUUUUCCCCUAGUUAAAAACAUAGAUUAUUGGGGUAGUUCCUACCCCACCUCACGCUUGCCACAUUAGCAACAAUUGGAAACGGUGUCUCCCAGAAAAUUUCUGUGCUUGUUCGGAACACGCUGAAUGUGCAGCAGCGCGGUGAAAAAGCUGUGGUCUAAAACAACAAAAAGAGUACAAAAAGAUGACUAAAAUGUACAAAAUGUUGUUCACUUUGAGUGAAACUGGGUUUCUGUCUUGAAUUCACUCUAACCAUUCGCAAUCCAAGCUCACUGCAGCUCUCCCUCUCUCCACCAAGGAGCAUGCUACACACUGUUCAUAACUUUCUGGAAACUGUUUUGUUUGUAAGGAUUGCCUCAGUCUACCAGCAAGUGGGUAAUUUUGCUCACCCUUUACUGUGAGCAAACUGUGUUAUACUGUCAUACUGUGUUAUACUUUAAAAUGUCAGGGUCCUGCUAUAGGAACACGGGGUAUCAAUAGGUCUGUUUGUCAUGGUUCCUGUUGUUGUGUUGUUGUCCUCGCUGGUAAAAAUGUGACUGGGGGAAGGGCGCAAGGGUGGAACUGCGCAGACAGGUCGAAGAGGACGGUGUCCAAUGGAUUCCAGCAGCAUAUGUUUCAUCUUUAUGGAGUCAAAAAUAUGUGAUAAUUUAGCUGUUUGGCUCAAAUUCAUUUAGGGACCGUUCUAAAUGGCUGGUGCCCCCCCUGGUUUAAUCUAAGAAUUGAAAUAGUUUAUUGGUCAAGUUCUCCCCAUCGCCUGUGUUAUGCUAAAUCUUUUGAAUAAUUAGUGCAUAUUCUUAUUUGCAACAGCGGAUUUCAUUUUUCUUAAAUCACGCUAAAAUAUGACUAAUAGUCGAAUCGGUUUUCCAAUAGGAUCUGUUGUGGGUAGACAUAUAGAAAGAGCAAAAUAUACCGAGAUGGACGAACUUGAGGCUUCCAAGCGGCAGUCCACAAACAAAUGGCCAACGAGAAAACGUGUCAAUGUUCAUUACCCUGCUUGCUUUUUAUCAUUACGAAAUAAACUUUUUUUUUUUUUUCUUUCAUUUUAUUUAUUUUUAUUUUUCUAUUGCCAAGAUGUUGCUAAGAGACCCACACUAUGCACAAAUUAUCCACCGACAGGAUGCUCCUGCAAACCCGGAUAGUGAAAUGAGAUCAACCAUAUUGAUUUAUUCACAUAAAGUUUUAUACUGGAAUACAUUUUUUAUAAUGCUUUAUUGGGAAAAGCCAGUAAGCUCAGACAUCAAGCAGUGACAUUGCUGCUUGCAUAAAAUAUACAUUAAUAAACCAGAAAAAUGUGCAGGUGUAAAUAAAAAUCUGUAGAAAACAAAAGCCCAAUAAAUUAUCAAACCGAAAAAGUGUAGGAAACGACAGUGGGCCGUAUUGAAAUAAUAGCGUGGAACUAAAUUAUUGACAUCAAUAGAAUUAUUAAUAAUCAAUUCUCAGAAUAAAUAAAUAACGGGGAACCACCCUGACCUAACAGGAACUAAUAGCCAAGCCUCAUAACUAAUAUUCACUCCUUGAGAGUUGUAUGUGAUGGUAAUAGUAUGUCAACUGUCACCACUAUAUAAAUCCAUCCAUCUUCAGCCGCUUAUCCGGGGUCGGGUCGUGGGGGCAAGCAGGGGACCCCAAACUUCCCCUUUCCCGGGCCACAUCUACCAGCUCUGACUGGGGGAUCCCAUGGCGUUCCCAAGCCAGUGCAGAGAUAUAAUCUCUCCACCUAGUCCUGGGUCAUCCCCGGGGCCUCUUCCCAGCUGGCCGUGCCUGAAACACCUCCCUAGGAAGGCGUCCAGGGGGAUUCCUUACUAGAUGCCCAAACCACCUCAACUGGCUCCUUUCGACGCAAAGGAGCAGCGGCUCUACUCCGAGCUCCUCACAAAUGGCUGAGCUUUUCACCCGAUCUCUAGGGGAGACGCCAGCCACUCUCCUGAGGAAACCCACUUCGGAAGCUUGUACCCGUGACCUAGUUCUUUCGGUCAUGACCCAUCCUUCAUGACCAUAGGUGAGGGUAGGAACGAAGAUUGACCGGUGUGGUCUGGAUCCCAAUGGGGGUCGUCGUUAUCAGCCCCUGGAUCAGACAUGAGGGUCUCCCUCCAUGUUUCUGUGUUUUUACUUUGUCUUCAGUGAAGAAAAACAUGGUGAGGUUCACGAGCAUAAUGGAGGACCCAACUAAAGUAUAAUAAAUGAGUAAAUCCCAAAACAUAACAAGAGAUUAACUGUGAAUAUAAUCAGAUUGCGUCUGGAGUCAAGCUUCUUGAUUUGAAUAGUUGGCCUUCCUACGCGCUAUAGCAGUAUAGAGAUAUGUAGUUUAAUAGAAAGUUAGCGUAUUUCCCUCGUAUUAUGUUAUGCACACACAUACAUGCUACAGUAUACUGUAUAUUGUGAAUUUAAAGCCUGCAUACCUACACAAGGUGGGUGUUUGACAUUCAAAACACAGAAUCCGUUUAUAAUGUGAGUGGGCACACUUCAUUUCCUGAGAAUAUCAUCAAAUACUUUUUUAUGACAGUGUUAUGCACUUGUUUCGCUGCUGGUUUCCAAAUUUAAAAGAAACCGUCGUCGAAAACAUUGAAUAUGCAGUGCAAUGGUUCUGCUGCAUGCUGUUCGAUGGCAUUAUCUAACCCACACAGUGUGCAAAUGGUUCCCUAGAUGUAGGAUUUCCAUUUACGCCUCAGUCUGAUAACUAUACUUAGAUCUGUCCAUGUGCUCUUUCUAUACCGUUAAUGAUCAGCUCUGCAUUUGAAUUUUCCAUUAUUUCCCCUGUCUGAUGCUUUUGAAUGUGCUACUUACUAGUUCACCAUGUAAAUCGCUUAAGCGCCUCCAGGAUGAAGGUCCAAAGCAGAACCGUGCUUUGGUUGCUGCGCCCUUUGUUGUGUUGCCUGCUAAGAAGAAAAAGUAUAACAGGCUCUUUCAGGACAUUUCAGAGAACACAACUCUCUGUUCCUCUGAGGAUCUGUGGAAUUUUUUUGAGAGAGUUGAGACAACUCUGCUUCUGACAUAAUCCUCCAAGACUUUUUGUAUCACUGCUAAAUAUAGCUUCUCGAGUGUUAAGACUUCCACGUCACAUUUGAUAGAAGUAGAGAAAGGAAAAUCCCCACACACUGCAGCGUCAAAUAGUGGUAAUGCUCAUUUUAUAGAAUGAAGCAUACAUUUACAGCAGUUUGUGACUGCCCAUGAUGUGUAAAAAUCAUGUGUCGGCAGCAUGGAAACAAUUCAAAUGAUAAGUAAAUUAGUGUCCUUUACUAUGUUAAACGUAAAUGCAUCAACAUAAAUAUACAGCACUUAGUUGUUUUAGAAUUAGCCACUAGUUGUUUUUACAACUAAUAGUUUAACUAAUUUUAAGUUCUACCAUGAAGUUAUUUUCCCUUUAGCCCAAAAAGGUCAUUUUGUGGCCCAGCCAUGAUGUUAGUCCUACACCUAAUGCUAUUUUAGUUUUUAACAUACGUUCAUUUUAACUUUCUGUCCCGUUACAAAUAUCAAUGUUAAAGUUUUUAAUUAAAAGCAUCCCAGAGUCAUAUUGCUUUAAAGUAAAACCCGUUUUAACUUGUGUAAGAAGUUCAAUCAGGACCGCAGAUUGAGAACAUUGGUUUCCGGGGCCUUGAAAUGCUUAGCUAGUGAUCGGUAAAUGCAUAUUUUCACACAAGAUCAUCUGGUGUAGGCAUAUCAGCUAGUGUCGAAAGGAGCUCAAAUCGAAAGGCACCAUUGUGUUUUGCCAAUUUGCUAUUCAACACUGAUAUAAAAUACAAAAAGCCACUUUAACCAAACGCCAGUUGUAAAAGGAACCAUUGAAAGCACAUUGCCGUUAAAAGGUUUACUAAAUAUCCAAGAAUUAUUCUGCAGUAUGCAGGCUGUGUUGUCCUGCUAGGACAGACAUCCUGUAUUUUGAAGAUGUGGGUUGUCUUUUUGGCUCUGCAAACUCUUAGAUUUCAUCUGCCAUGUAAGUCUAAACGUAUAGCAGAUGAAUAAGCGUAUUGUGCAUUUUCCAAAGCCAAUGUAGAUAUAUAGUGUACUUACAUGAUUUUAUGGCCAAAUAAUAAAUUCUGGAACAGCAGGAUUGCAUCCAGCAGUCAGUGAUUCAGCUCAGUAAGAGCAUUGCUUUGAACUCCUUUUACAACCAUAUUGACUUGGUCAUAAAGCAGCAAUAAAUCCAUAGGCAUUUAAUAAUUUCCCCAUGUCGUCAGUUUACAGAGGCAUAUGUCUAUUCUAUGGUUUGGAGAAGCCGAUGGGUCCAGUGAUGGUAAAAACAAUCACAGGUAUUACGACAGUGAGCUUAAAUCAUUCUGCUGGGAUGCUGACAGUGAUUAAUGUAACUUGAAAUCGUGAAAAAGAAGCAAAGGAGUGGAGCGUCAGCAUUUAAUCACUUUGCAAAACAUUGUAAACCAACAACACCUUGAAGGCCCACCAGCUCACAGAUCCCCACACUGAACUUUGCUGUGAGUAGAUUAUUAACACCUUGCUGUGUACAUCCAGCACAAGGUGCACUAAUGUAACUGGUGUCGUUUCAGCUUGCCGCGUUGCCUUCGGUUUUUAUUAAGAUGCUUGUACAAAUUAGUUCAAAAAGCUAUUAUUUUCCUCGCACAGGGCUCAAGCAAUUGAUUGAGAUCGCUAAAUUGUAAAAGGCAAUUCUAACCCAUAACCAAAGACUUGUUCUUGAGUUAGAGUAACACGUUAACAUGCCCAGCCCUAAUAAUAACAUCUAGAAUUAAAGAUUGAGUUGUCAGAAGACUAGAAAGGGGCUAUACAAAUACAGUACAUUAUUCAAGCAACAUAAUAGAAAAAUAUAUCAGUGCUGCAGUGUCCGAGAUGUAUUUUAUAUGUAGUUGUCCCUGAAGAAUAUUUGAAUUUUCAACUUGAUGCAUGCACUAAUGGUUCAUACUUGAUCAAUAGUUGACCCUACAUGAGUUAAUGGUGUCAGUAAUCAUGCACGAGUACCAGUGUU
ensembl:lncRNA